GAGACACAGGCCCUCAACCAUUGAGUGGGGAGCAAGAGAGAGAGCAAGGGACUACAACUUUAUUGGGAUCCCGGGCAUUAUCCAAGCAGACUCAUUUCAGUGGCAAUGUAAAUUUGGGAGAACGAAAUUAUCAUCUCACAUCUGCCACCAACUGCUGUUAGCUGUAGAAUGUCAUACGCGUCCAUGUGAAGAGACCACCAAACAGGAUUUGUGAUAUUGCCACGGUUUCUACGGGACUGAACAAAGGGGGACCCACACAGGAAUGAAAACUUAAAACAAAACAGCCACUAAGGAAGGCGCAGAGGGACUUCCUUUCGGCCCGAAACAGUAUCUGUGCUGCCAAACUGUUGGGUACACCUGCAGAAAGGCUGUCACUUCACACUUGGAAGAUUGCACAGCGGCCAGGCAGAGGCGCUCCUCACUUCCCAGACGGGGUGGCGGCGGGGCAGAGGCGCUCCUCGCAUCCCAGACGGGGCAGCCGGGCAGAGGUGCCCCUCACUUCCCAGACGGGGCAGCCGGGCAGAGGCCCCCCUCACUUCCCAGACGGGGCGGCCAGGCAGAGGCGCUCCUCACUUCCCAGACGGGGUGGCGGCCGGGCAGAGGCUGUAAUCUUAACACUUUGGGAGGCCAAGGCAGGUGGCUGGGAGGUGGAGGUUGUAGCGAGCCGAGAUCACGCCACUGUACUCCAGCCUGGGCAACACUGAGCACUGAGUGAGGAGACUCCGUCUGCAAUCCCAGCACCUUGGGAGGCCGAGGCGGGCAGACCACUCGAGGUCAGGAGCUGGAGACCAGCCCGGUCAACACCGCGAAACCCCGUCUCCACCAAAAAUACAAAAACCAGUCAGGCGUGGCGGCGCGUGCCUGCAAUCCCAGGCACUUGGCAGGCCGAGGCAGGAGAAUCACGGGAGCCCGAGGCAGGGAGGUUGCA
rnacentral:lncRNA from 10 species